rnacentral:rRNA from 1 species
GACGAACGCUGGCGGCGUGCCUAAUACAUGCAAGUCGAACGCUGAAGAGAGGAGCUUGCUCUUCUUGGAUGAGUUGCGAACGGGUGAGUAACGCGUAGGUAACCUGCCUUGUAGCGGGGGAUAACUAUUGGAAACGAUAGCUAAUACCGCAUAACAAUGGAUGACACAUGUCAUUUAUUUGAAAGGGGCAAUUGCUCCACUACAAGAUGGACCUGCGUUGUAUUAGCUAGUAGGUGAGGUAAUGGCUCACCUAGGCGACGAUACAUAGCCGACCUGAGAGGGUGAUCGGCCACACUGGGACUGAGACACGGCCCAGACUCCUACGGGAGGCAGCAGGAGGGAAUCUUCGGCAAUGGGGGCAACCCUGACCGAGCAACGCCGCGUGAGUGAAGAAGGUUUUCGGAUCGUAAAGCUCUGUUGUAAGUCAAGAACGGGUGUGAGAGUGGAAAGUUCACACUGUGACGGUAGCUUACCAGAAAGGGACGGCUAACUACGUG